UGGGGAAUUUUGGACAAUGGGGGAAACCCUGAUCCAGCCAUCCCGCGUGGGCGAUGAAGGCCUUCGGGUUGUAAAGCACUUUUGGCAGGAAAGAAAAGUCAUGGGUUAAUACCCCGUGAAACUGACGGUACCUGCAGAAUAAGCACCGGCUAACUACGUGCCAGCAGCCGCGGUAAUACGUAGGGUGCAAGCGUUAAUCGGAAUUACUGGGCGUAAAGCGUGCGCAGGCGGUUCGGAAAGAAAGAUGUGAAAUCCCAGAGCUCAACUUUGGAACUGCAUUUUUAACUACCGGGCUAGAGUGUGUCAGAGGGAGGUGGAAUUCCGCGUGUAGCAGUGAAAUGCGUAGAUAUGCGGAGGAACACCGAUGGCGAAGGCAGCCUCCUGGGAUAACACUGACGCUCAUGCACGAAAGCGUGGGGAGCAAACAGG
rnacentral:rRNA from 1 species